ACAGAGGUCCCAAGCGUUGUUCGGAUUCACUGGGCGUAAAGGGUGCGUAGGCGGCGCGGUAAGUCGGGUGUGAAAUCUCGGAGCUUAACUCCGAAACUGCAUUCGAUACUGCCGUGCUUGAGGACUGGAGAGGAGACUGGAAUUUACGGUGUAGCGGUGAAAUGCGUAGAUAUCGUAAGGAAGACCAGUGGCGAAGGCGGGUCUCUGGACAGUUCCUGACACUGAGGCACGAAGGCCAGGGGAGCAAACGGG
rnacentral:rRNA from 1 species